UUCAUGCACUAGGGGAGCCUGAACAGGCUGAGAAGAACACAGUUCUGACCCUUUGAACCCGAUCUGGAUAAUACCAGCGUGGGGAAGUGCAGUCUGAGUUAC
rnacentral:ncRNA from 2 species